GACGAACGCUGGCGGCGUGCUUAACACAUGCAAGUCGAACGGAAAGGCCCUGCUUUUGUGGGGUGCUCGAGUGGCGAACGGGUGAGUAACACGUGAGUAACCUGCCCUUGACUUUGGGAUAACUUCAGGAAACUGGGGCUAAUACCGGAUAGGAGCUCCUGCUGCAUGGUGGGGGUUGGAAAGUUUCGGCGGUUGGGGAUGGACUCGCGGCUUAUCAGCUUGUUGGUGGGGUAGUGGCUUACCAAGGCUUUGACGGGUAGCCGGCCUGAGAGGGUGACCGGCCCCAUUGGGACUGAGAUACGGCCCAGACUCCUACGGGGGGCAGCAGUGGGGAAUAUUGCACAAUGGGCGGAAGCCUGAUGCAGCAACGCCGCGUGCGGGAUGACGGCCUUCGGGUUGUAAACCGCUUUCGCCUGUGACGAAGCGUGAGUGACGGUAAUGGGGAAAGAAGCACCGGCUAACUACGU
rnacentral:rRNA from 1 species